rnacentral:lncRNA from 10 species
GCCCGUGGUAAGGUCCUGCUCUUAGAGGAUGCUGCCAGGUCCUGGGAAUGUGGGACUUCCUGGGUUCCCUCAAGAAGCCAAGGUCUGACACAGGAAGCACAGGGCUCAGGAGGACACAGGGAGGGGGCAGCAAUGCCGGCUGUGUCCCCUCUGGGAUGCUCGUGUGUGAAAGCCAUGGUUUCCAGAUGGUGCAGCUGCAAGAUGGCAACACCACCGAGAGCUUGCAUUCCUGAAUGACCACCUGGAGGAGAGCACACCGGACAUGUAACAUGAGAAAUAAACCUUUGCUGUGUAAAG